UCUGCUACAUUUUUAAAAAUGAAAUGCUUAUCAAAUAUAUUCGUAAUUUUGCUAACUAUUGAAGUGAUAGUCCAGACAAGAAGGUUGAACGAUCCAGGCGCUAGACAAACUACAACUAGACCCUAUACUCCGAAAUGGGGAUUUGCAGCUCAUCAUACCCAUGCAUCUGAAUAUCAAGGAAGACCGCAAUACGAAAUGGAUCCCAGGGAUCCAUAUUUGAUGAAAAACCAAGGCACUUAUUAAUCAACUAAUUGAAAGCAAUAAUGAUAAUUCUUUUCCUAUACCCGUUUCAGGUCCCUAUUUCUAAAGGCUUUAAGUUCAAUAUUUCUUCAACCGAAGAAUUAAAAAUGAGGAGUGUAUGUUCUCAAUAUUUUGAAGUAGAACAAAAGGGUUGCUGAUAUUGGCACUUAAUAAAUUAAAAAAGAAAUAAUA